UGGGAACGUGCCCUUUGGUUCGGAACAACUCCGGGAAACUGGAGCUAAUACCGGAUAAGCCCUUCGGGGGAAGGAUUUAUCGCCAAAGGAUCGGCCCGCGUCUGAUUAGCUUGUUGGUGAGGUAACGGCUCACCAAGGCGACGAUCAGUAGCUGGUCUGAGGGGAUGAUCAGCCACACUGGGACUGAGACACGGCCCAGACUCCUACGGGAGGCAG
rnacentral:rRNA from 1 species